UACGUAGGGGGCGAGCGUUGUCCGGAUUCAUUGGGCGUAAAGCGCGCGUAGGCGGCCCCGCAAGUCGGCCGUGAAAUCUCCGGGCUCAACUCGGAGGGGUCGGGCGAGACUGCGGGGCUCGAGGUGGGCAGAGGGCAGUGGAAUUCCGGGUGUAGUGGUGGAAUGCGUAGAGAUCCGGAGGAACACCAGUGGCGAAGGCGGCUGCCUGGGCCUGGCCUGACGCUGAGGCGCGAAAGCAUGGGGAGCGAACAGG
rnacentral:rRNA from 1 species